AGAAGUUACAAAGGGCGAACAGAGGAUGCCUAGGCUUCUAUAGGCGAAGAAAGACGUGGUAAGCUGCGAAAAGGCACGGGGAUCUGCAAACAGGACUUGAUCCGUGCAUUUCUGAAUGGGGCAACCCGGCAAGAUGAAGUCUUGCCACCAUGAGUAAUUGUGGGGCCAACCCGGGGAACUGAAACAUCUCAUUACCCGGAGGAAAAGAAAGAAAGAUCGAUUUCCCAAGUAGUGGCGAGCGAAAAGGAAAUAGCCCAAACCGGAUUUGUUGCGGCAAAUUCGGGGUAGUAGGACCUCGAUAUACGAGCCAUAAAAAAUUGGAAGUUUCUGGAAAGGGACAUCGUAGAGGGUGAUAAUCCCGUACAAGUAAGAUUAUGGUAAGUUAGGGGAAUCCUGAGUAGGGCGGGACACGAGGAAUCCUGUCUGAAACAGCGGGGACCAUCCCGUAAGGCUAAAUACUCAUAGAAGACCGAUAGUGUACCAGUACUGUGAAGGAAAGGUGAAAAGCACCGUGAAAAACGGGGUGAAAGAGAACCUGAAACUGUUCGCUUACAAGCGGUCGGAGUCUCGCGAGAGAUGACGGCGUGCCUUUUGCAUAAUGAGCCUACGAGUUACUUCUCACCGGCAAGGUUAAGCACCUCAGGUGCGGAGCCGAAGCGAAAGCGAGUCUGAAAAGGGCGAAUGGAGUCGGUGGGAGUAGACGCGAAACCUUGUGAUCUACCCUUGGCCAGGUUGAAGUGUCCGUAACAGGACAUGGAGGACCGCACCAGUUUCCGUUGAAAAGGAUUUGGAUGAGCUGAGGGUAGGGGUGAAAGGCUAAUCAAACUGGGAGAUAGCUCGUACUCCCCGAAAUGUCUUUUGGGACAGCCUCAUUAUAGCUUGACGGAGGUAGAGCUACUGAUAGGAUGCGAGGGCUUCACCGCCUAUCAAAUCCUGACAAACUCCGAAUGCCGUCAAGUGAUUAAUGGGAGUGAGUCAUCGGGUGCUAAUGUCCGGUGGCAAAAGGGAAAGAGCCCAGACCAACAGCUAAGGCCCCCAAACGUAUGCUAAGUUGAGAGAACGAAGUUUGAUACCGGAGACAGCUAGGAUGUUAGCUUGGAAGCAGCUAAUCAUUUAAAGAGUGCGUAACAGCUCACUAGUCGAGGUACCGGGCGUGGAUGAUAAACGGGCAUCAAGCAUACUGCCGAAGCUAUGGACUCCGCGAGGAGUGGUAGGGGAGCAUUCUAACCGGCGCAGAAGGUGAUGCGUGAGCAUUGCUGGAGCGAUUAGAAAAGAAGAUGUAGGCAUAAGUAACGAUAAUGAAGGCGAGAAACCUUCACACCGCAAGCCCAAGGGUUCCUGAUCAAUGCUAAUCAGAUCAGGGUAAGUCGGGGCCUAACGUAAAUCCGAAAGGAGAUGUGGAUGGACAAAUGGUUAAUAUUCCAUUACCUGUAUAUGAUAUUCAGGAGGGACGAAGAUGUGACACGCGCGCCAACAGACGGAAUAGUUGGUUAAAGGAGGUAGGUAAACGGCGGAGUUAAAAGCUGGUCGUGCUGAAGUCUGACAGUACACGGAGCCUUCGGGCGAAGUGAUAGUCGCGGUAAGCGGACUUCCAAGAAAAUCUCCGAUAAUUUUCAUAUACAGCCCGUACCGUAAACCGACACAGGUGGGCGAGGAGAGUAUCCUCAGGUGCUCGAGUGAAUCAUGGCUAAGGAAUUCGGCAAAUUGACCCCGUAACUUCGGGAUAAGGGGACCCAUCGGAAGAUGGGCGCAGAGAAAUGGCCCAGGCGACUGUUUAACAAAAACACAUGGCUUUGCUAAAUCGCAAGAUGACAUAUAAGGCCUGACACCUGCCCGGUGCCGGAAGGUUAAGAGGGGAUGUAAUCGCAAGAGAAGCAUUGAAUCGAAGCCCCGGUAAACGGCGGCCGUAACUAUAACGGUCCUAAGGUAGCGAAAUUCCUUGUC
rnacentral:rRNA from 1 species